AUGUGGUUCAUGCCAACAGCAAAUAUGCACAACUUGAUUCGUGCUGAUAUCUACACUGAGCCAUUACCAUAUAACUGGAAUUGCCGAUGCAAGUCGAAGAAGGAUUGGCCGGUACUGCCGGCUGGUGUCAAGUUCAAUCCCACGGAUCAGGAGCUCAUCGAGCAUCUUGAGGCCAAAGUGAGUGCUGACAGCGCGAGAUUUCAGUCUCUCAUCGAUUUGUUCAUACCAACCAUCGACAACGAGCACGGCAUAUGCUACACCCAACCUGAGAAACUUCCAGGUAUCACACUGAGUGGCCUAAGGAAGCAUUUCUUCCAGCGCAAUUCCAGGGCGUUCAAUAGGGGCACGUGGACAUGUCGCAAGAUACAGUCGGAGUGCGGCAUGCACGCGAUGUGGCACAAGACCGGCAAUACCUUGCCGGUGAUGGUCAAUGGCCGACAGACAAGCAGCAAAAAAGGUUCUGGUGCUGCACACCAACAAGAACUUCGACCAGCAGAGGACCAACUGGGUGAUGCACCAGUACCACCUCGGGGACCUGGAGCAAGAGAAGGAAAGGGAGUUGGUCCUCUGCAAGAUUUUCUACCGGACGAACACUAG
rnacentral:rRNA from 1 species